rnacentral:rRNA from 1 species
UGCGGUUAUACAAAAAUUAAAUUAAUUUCUUUUAGGAUUUAAUAAAUAAAAAUUUAUUUAAUAAUUUAAAUUUUAAAUUAUAAAGUGAAAUUUUAAUUUAAUUAAAAUUUAUUUAUUUUUAUGACAUUAAUAAAUUUUAUAAAAAACUAGGAUUAGAUACCCUAUUAUAAAAAUUUAAAUUUAAUAAUCUUAAAAUAGUAUAUAAUUUUUUAUAGAAACUUAAAUAAUUUGGCGGUAUUUUAGUUCAUUUAGAGGAAUCUGUCUAAUAAUUGAUAAUCCACGAUUAAAUUUACUUAAUUUUUAAUUUUGUAUAUCGUUGUUAAAAAAAUAUUUUUUGAUAAAAAUAAUAUUUUAAAAUUUAAAUAAAAAAUUAAAUCAGAUCAAGAUGCAGAUUAUAAUUAAGAAUAUGAUGGAUUACAAUAAAUUUUAUUUUAUUUGGAUAUUAAUUUGAAAUAAAUUAAUUAAAAUUGGAUUUAAAUGUAAUUUUAUUAAUUUUAUUAAAAUGAUUUUAAAUUAAAAUAUGUACAUAUUGCCCGUCGCUUUCAUUUAUAAAUUGAAAUAAGUCGUAACAAAGUAGAGGUACUGGAAAGUGUUUCUAGAAAGAU